CCUACGGGAGGCAGCAGUGGGGAAUUUUGGACAAUGGGCGCAAGCCUGAUCCAGCAAUGCCGCGUGAGUGAAGAAGGCCUUCGGGUUGUAAAGCUCUUUUGUCAGGGAAGAAACGGUGGAGGCUAAUAUCCUUUGCUAAUGACGGUACCUGAAGAAUAAGCACCGGCUAACUACGUGCCAGCAGCCGCGGUAAUACGUAGGGUGCAAGCGUUAAUCGGAAUUACUGGGCGUAAAGCGUGCGCAGGCGGUUUUGUAAGUUUGUCGUGAAAUCCCCGGGCUCAACCUGGGAAUGGCGAUGAAGACUGUAAGGCUAGAAUCUGGCAGAGGGGGGUAGAAUUCCACGUGUAGCAGUGAAAUGCGUAGAGAUGUGGAGGAACACCGAUGGCGAAGGCAGCCCCCUGGGUCAAGAUUGACGCUCAUGCACGAAAGCGUGGGGAGCAAACAGGAUUAGAUACCCUGGUAGUCCACGCCCUAAACGAUGUCUACUAGUUGUCGGGUUUUAAUUAACUUGGUAACGCAGCUAACGCGUGAAGUAGACCGCCUGGGGAGUACGGUCGCAAGAUUAAAACUCAAAAGGAAUUGACGG
rnacentral:rRNA from 1 species